CUUGCGGACAAUGCUGGAAAGUAUUACGCACGACAAUCCUCCAAACCCUAGUGUCCUCAUCGCUCUAAAACUCGCACGGGACCACAAUCUUGAGAAAGACAUUUGAAAACCUCAAGAAAGAGUUGGCACGGACACUCAAUGAAGCAGAAGAGAUUCCUUCUGGAUUUCUGGCCUUGUACGUCUUGGCAUUUCGAGCCACCUGUCAUGGUCCCGAACAUUUUGAAGCUGGGGGCGUUUCUAAGAAUCUUUGAAGGCUUCUAGCUCGAAAAUUAGAGUCGGAAAUCGAGAGUACAAAAAAGAGCUCAGUGCCUUUAACAAGUUACUACCAAGUUGCUCUCGCUGUCCUUGCCCUGUGUAUCAACAAGCAUGGUGUGUCCCCCCGAGCUAUCUCUGCGAUCGAAAAUGCAAUUCAAGAUAAUUUAUAUAUGCAUAGAAAAAAAUUGGAUGUUGACACAGCAGCAAUGAGUGUACUUGGCCUGCAGUGUGCCUCCCCGAAAUCACCCAGCAUCCAGAAAGUUGUAUGUCAAAUCUUGAAAGUUGUUGGUCAGGACGGGACAAUUGGUAAUAUCUACAGCACAGGAUUAGCGGUACAGGCCUUAUCCGUGAGUCAAGAUAUGAUACCCAACAACACAUGGGACCGCAGUAUUUCUAUCGAUCGGUUAUUAAACGCUUCCAGAGAUGGGGAAUUUAAAAAUCCACAGACAGCAUCUCAAGUAACCCCCUCCCUUGAAGGGAAAUCAUAUCUAAACGUGGAGGAGAUUACGUG